CUGCGGUGAUGACUAUCUUAGGACACCUUUGGAUAAACGAUGAAACUACUCAUGUGUCUGAGCACC
rnacentral:snoRNA from 13 species